rnacentral:sRNA from 1 species
UGGCCAGGAUGAGUCUGCGAUGGAAUCAAAGCUGAGGAAAGUUGAAUGGGUGACGCCAUCCGGCACCGGAGGGCAGCUUCAAAACGAAACGGGGCCUCUUUUUUUUUUUUUUUUUUUUUUUUUUUUUUUGUUUUUUGGUGUGGAGGUAAGGGUUAAGCUUUGAUCGAUGAUGAAAGAUAAGGCAACCCAGGGAAUAGCUGUUCAUGGGCAAACUCCGAUGAGGGCCUGGCUGCUGGGUGCGCAAUGGGUGGUGGUGGAGGAAGGAGGAACGAACUAUACGAGAAAGGCCGAGCUCGCUAAAGGCGCCACGGAAUGUGAUAUCUCGGUCUGUGGCUCGUGCGCGG